CUUAAAAACCAAUUACUGGCAAAGUCGUGUGACAAACUUUGAAACGUAUUUUAUUCAAUUUUUCUCUCUCUUUUUUUUUGACAGACUGAGCUGAUGUUAUGGAGGAUGGAAGAUCAACCUCUGGCUGUGCGACUAGCUGCUGUGAUCAAGGAGGUGGAGAGCCUGAGGUGUGAACAAACAACACUUCAGCAGCAGCAGCAGCAGCAGCAGCAGCAGCAGCAGCAGAGCGCUCUCACUCAGGUAGCCUCUAUUUAAAGUCCUUACAAUCUCCCUGCGUGCUGCACAUCAGCUCCUGAACGUGUCACUUUUCACCUUCAUUCACAGACGCGUAGAUCGAGCCGUGAGGACGGAGCUCAGGAGAAAGUCGGUCAGUGAAUUAAAAAACACAAACAUCUUUCUGUGGAUGAUUUUGUUUUUUUCA
rnacentral:lncRNA from 1 species